rnacentral:rRNA from 1 species
UACGUAGGGUGCGAGCGUUGUCCGGAAUUAUUGGGCGUAAAGAGCUCGUAGGCGGUGUGUCACGUCGUUCGUGAAAACCUGCAGCUUAACUGUGGGCGUGCGGUCGAUACGGGCAUCACUGGAGUUCGGCAGGGGAGACUGGAAUUCCUGGUGUAGCGGUGAAAUGCGUAGAUAUUGGGAGGAACACCAGUGGCGAAGGCGGCUCACUGGACCGGUACUGACGCUGAUGCGCGAAAGCGUGGGGAGCAAACGGG